GAAGCCAACCAGACAGUCGCCGCCUGUGCAAACAGGGGGAGGAAAGUCCGGGCUGCACAGAGCGGGAUGACGGCUAACGGCCGUACGCUGAAAGCUGGUAACAGUAUAAGGUGAGGAAUAGGGCCACAGAGACGAGCGUAUUAAGUUACGGUGAAACGCGGUAACCUCCAUCUGCAGCAAUAUCAAAUAGGCUGGCAUUUUACGCAAGUAAUAAGGCGUGGCUCGCGCUGCCAGCGGGUAGAUAGCUUGAGCGUGUGAGCAAUUGCACGCCUAGAUGAAUGACUGUCGCCACGCAAGUGGAUACAGAACCCGGCUUACCGGUUGGCUUUAUUU
rnacentral:RNase_P_RNA from 1 species